rnacentral:tRNA from 1 species
GCCUGGGUGGCUCAGUCGGUUGGGCGGCCGACUUCGGCUCAGGUCAUGAUCUAGCAGUCUGUGGGUUCGAGCCCCGCAUCGGGCU